UCCCAGACUCCUACGGGAGGCAGCAGUGGGGAAUAUUGCACAAUGGGGGAAACCCUGAUGCAGCGACGCCGCGUGAGUGAAGAAGUAAUUCGUUAUGUAAAGCUCUAUCAGCAGGGAAGAAAAUGACGGUACCUGAGUAAGAAGCCCCGGCUAACUACGUGCCAGCAGCCGCGGUAAUACGUAGGGGGCAAGCGUUACCCGGAUUUACUGGGUGUAAAGGGAGCGUAGACGGCGAUGCAAGCCAGAUGUGAAAGCCCGGGGCUCAACCCCGGGACUGCAUUUGGAACUGUGUGGCUGGAGUGUCGGAGAGGCAGGCGGGAUUCCUGGUGUAGCGGGGAAAUGCGUAGAUAUCAGGAGGAGCACCG
rnacentral:rRNA from 1 species